CCUACGGGCGGCUGCAGUGGGGAAUUUUGCGCAAUGGGCGAAAGCCUGACGCAGCAACGCCGCGUGGGUGAUGAAGGUCUUCGGAUCGUAAAACCCUGUCGUCAGGGACGAAGGUUGCAUGUCGAAUAGAUGUGCAGCUUGACGGUACCUGGAGAGGAAGCCCCGGCUAACUCUGUGCCAGCAGCCGCGGUAAUACAGAGGGGGCAAGCGUUAUGCGGAAUUAUUGGGGGCGGUGAUCGAGGUGGCGGGUGUAAUCCCCGAGCUUAACUUGGGAACUGCAUCUCAGACUGUGUCGCUAGAGUACUGGAGAGGGUGAUAGAAUUCCACGUGUAGCGGUGAAAUGCGUAGGGAUGUGGAGGAAUACCAGUGGCGAAGGCGGCCACCUGGACAGUAACUGACGCUGAGGCGCGAAAGUGUGGGGAGCAAACAGGAUUAGAUACCCGUGUAGUC
rnacentral:rRNA from 1 species